rnacentral:rRNA from 1 species
UACAGAGGGGGCAAGCGUUAUUCGGAAUUAUUGGGCGUAAAGGGCGCGUAGGCGGCCUGACAAGUGGAAGGUGAAAUCCCUCGGCUCAACUGAGGAACUGCCCUCCAAACUGUUUGGCUUGAGACCGGGAGAGGUGAGUGGAAUUCCCAGUGUAGCGGUGAAAUGCGUAGAUAUUGGGAGGAACACCAGUGGCGAAGGCGGCUCACUGGACCGGUACUGACGCUGAGGCGCGAAAGCGUGGGGAGCAAACGGG